UGGGGAAUAUUGCACAAUGGGCGCAAGCCUGAUGCAGCCAUGCCGCGUGUGUGAAGAAGGCCUUCGGGUUGUAAAGCACUUUCAGCGAGGAGGAAGGUGGUGAGCUUAAUACGCUCAUCAAUUGACGUUACUCGCAGAAGAAGCACCGGCUAACUCCGUGCCAGCAGCCGCGGUAAUACGGAGGGUGCAAGCGUUAAUCGGAAUUACUGGGCGUAAAGCGCACGCAGGCGGUUUGUUAAGUCAGAUGUGAAAUCCCCGGGCUCAACCUGGGAACUGCAUUUGAAACUGGCAAGCUAGAGUCUCGUAGAGGGGGUAGAAUUCCAGGUGUAGCGGUGAAAUGCGUAGAGAUCUGGAGGAAUACCGGUGGCGAAGGCGGCCCCCUGGACGAAGACUGACGCUCAGGUGCGAAAGCGUGGGGAGCAAACAGAUUAGAUACCCUGGUAGUCACGCCUGUAAACGAU
rnacentral:rRNA from 1 species